rnacentral:rRNA from 1 species
UACGUAGGGUGCAAGCGUUGUCCGGAAUUAUUGGGCGUAAAGAGCUCGUAGGCGGUUCGUCGCGUCGGCUGUGAAAACCUGAGGCUCAACCUCAGGCCUGCAGUCGAUACGGGCGGACUUGAGUACUGCAGGGGAGACUGGAAUUCCUGGUGUAGCGGUGAAAUGCGCAGAUAUCAGGAGGAACACCAAUGGCGAAGGCAGAUCUCUGGGCCGUAACUGACGCUGAGGAGCGAAAGCAUGGGGAGCAACAGG